rnacentral:rRNA from 1 species
AUACGGAGGGGGCUAGCGUUGUUCGGAAUUACUGGGCGUAAAGCGCGCGUAGGCGGCCUGUCUAGUUGGGUGUGAAAGCCCGGGGCUCAACCCCGGAAUUGCAGUCAAAACUGGCAAGCUAGAGACCGAGAGAGGUGAGUGGAAUUUCCAGUGUAGAGGUGAAAUUCGUAGAUAUUGGAAAGAACGCCAGUGGCGAAGGCGGCUCACUGGCUCGGUUCUGACGCUGAGGUGCGAAAGCGUGGGGAGCAAACAGGAUUAGAAACCCCGGUAGUCC